CAGCUCACCCCCAUUCCUUCAUAAAUCACGUCCCACAGCCCACAACGCUACCGUGACAUCAAAUCCGCCACCUUCAAACCACUUCUCAUUUCAUUCCGCAGAGUCCCACUUCCUCCCUCUCCCACAAAAAACCAUGGAAAAAGAACCCCCCCACCACCACCACCAUCACCACGACCACGACUACGACCACCAACACUCACCCCUCAAAUCCCCAUCCUCACCCACGUCCACCACCACAACCACAACCGCCGCCGCAACCUGCUGCAAUUGCGGCGCCCCAACCAGUUACGCACCACCACCCACAUGGUCCGACACCUCCCCACCUCCAAACUACCGCCCAAUUCGCGCUCCGGCGAUCAACCUCCCCCCAAGCAGCCACACCCAACAAGCCAUAAUCCUCGCCCCGGUCCCACAUUCCCAAAAGGUCCCACUCGUCUCCCCACCUUACCAUUUCCAAACCCCAGCCAAAAAAAUCCAAUCCCCCGAAGAUCUCAACCACUUCCAGAACUCCGAUUCCGGCAAAAACUUCCUCGGCUUCGUCGUCGCUCUCUCCGAGUCAAUUCGCUCCCACAAACUCUCCGACCCUUGCCACCAAUCCGAAACCAUCAACUCCAUCGUCUCCAUUCUCGAAACCCUAAUCCAAUGGGUCGACGAAAUCCCUCCGGCUCAACAAACCGCUCGCUACGGCAACCUCUCGUACCGGACCUGGCACAGCCGCCUCACCGAAACCAGCGAUUCGCUGAUGCUCCAGUUCCUCCCGGCCGAUCUCCAAUCCGCCACGAUCGAGAUCGUCCCUUACUUCACCGAUAGCUUCGGGAACUCGAGCCGAAUCGAUUACGGUACCGGCCACGAGACCAACUUCGCGGCGUGGCUGUACUGCUUGGCUCGAUUGGGAGUCAUCAAGGAGGAGGAUUACCAGGCCGUGGUAGCUAGGGUUUUCGUGAAGUACCUGGAAUUGAUGAGGAAACUGCAAUUGGUUUAUUGCUUGGAGCCUGCUGGUUCUCAUGGCGUUUGGGGGCUCGAUGACUAUCAUUUCUUGCCGUUUAUCUUCGGCUCGUCGCAGCUGAUCGAUCACCGGUACAUGAAGCCGAAAUCUAUUCAUAAUGAUGAUAUACUGGAGAAUUUCAAUAAGGAGUAUCUGUACAUUGCUUGCAUUGCAUUUGUGAAGAAGGUGAAGAAGGGUUUGUUCGCGGAGCAUUCGCCUUUGCUGGAUGAUAUUAGCGGUGUGCCUACUUGGAACAAAGUGAAUAGUGGGUUGCUGAAGAUGUAUAAAGUGGAGGUCUUAGAGAAAGUCCCCAUUAUGCAGCAUUUUCUGUUUGGUUGGCUCAUCAAAUGGCAGAAUCUUCUAGGUGUUGGCAUCUAGGAAGAUGGACACGGAUACGGGUACGAAAUGGCCACAUGGGCAAUUUCUAAAAAAUUUUAACAUGACACGGUGGUUACAACACCGGUACAACACGGGGAGUAGAGUGGGCGUUUUGCUGUGGAAACAAGAAAAGUUAAGCUCACCAGGUUUCAUGCAACUAUAAACACAGAAUGUACCUAUGGUAGUAGGGAUGAAUUGUGUUUUCCUCUUCCUUUUUUAAUCUUUUAUGCAUUUUUGUUGCUAUAAAUAUUUCACAGAUAAUGGAAGUUUGGCGACAUUUAUUGAUUAGUAAAUGAGAUAGAUAUCCUUAUCUAUGUAGACAAA